ACGCUCGACACCUACGGGAGGCAGCAGUUGGGAAUAUUGGACAAUGGAGGAAACUCUGAUCCAGUGACGCCGCGUGAAGGAAGAAGGUCUUCGGAUUGUAAACUUAUUUUGUCAGGGAAGAAAAAAUGACUGUACCUGAAGAAAAGCACCGGCUAACUACGUGCUAGCAGCCGCGGUAAUCUGAGCGGGCUGGCAAGGC
rnacentral:rRNA from 1 species